rnacentral:lncRNA from 1 species
GGGAAAUAGAGAAUUUCUGGAUGAAGACGCAAUUGUGUUCUUCUUCAUAAGGGCUUGAUAAAAUAUCACCAUUUCUGACACUUCCCAUCCCAUUAUCUCAUUCACAGUGAAAAGAGCAUUAUGUCAGCCAAGACAAAAUCAGAAACACAGCUGUUUAAAAAUGAGGUCCUGUCCUGAUGAGCAGAGUCAGAACAAAUAAAGGAAACAUAUGUUGAUGUUUGUGAAAUUCCACUCGAUGACUUUAUGGCACAAGAGCUUGCGGAGGAGACCAAUGGUGCCCUUUGUACCUGGUUCCACUCCAGUCUGGUCUUUCAAUCUGUUACCUGCCUCUUUCACAACUCAGCCGGACACAAGAGAACCUGUGUGAGGCAAGAAAUUCUCAGGCUCUGAAGAAUGUAUUGAAGAGCGGUGGAGAGAAGCCUUACCUGGAGAUUCAGGAAGCUCUUUGUCCCCCUUCCCAUCUCCAUCAUCUUUAAAUCCAGGUACAUUUGUAGUAGGAAUUUGUUCAGCGAAACCCUGCAGCAAUAUUUCUCUUCAUUUCCAUGACAACAACUCCCUAUCAACUUCUAAAGGAACCUGCCUGUAUUGUAAACAAACCUCUCUUGGCAAUUGGCUUGUUUUCUUUCUCUAUCUCAUCUUCCAUCUGUUCAAAGGCUUUGCUUCAAAAAGAAAUAGGUUGCAGGUGUGUACUUUUUCUUUCUUUACCCCUCCCCCCUUGUUUCUGAAAGAGGUUGAUCUUGGAGAUUAAAAUUCUCUCCACUAGUGACUUUAACAAGCUCGCUGAGUACCUGUGUGUACCUGUGAACCAAUGUUUGGAGCAUAUCAACAUAGAGCAUGC